CUAUCAUUGAUGAUUUUACUGAACGUGAGAAUGCACUGAAAGAACAGCUUGCGGCUUGUAAAGACACUGUGAGCACCUUGAAGGACAUGUAUUCAUCCUUGACUGAUGAUUAUGUUCAUGAUGACAGUCAGAUGAAGAGUGAAAAUGAGAAGCUCCAAAGAGAACUGGAGCAACACAAACUCAAAGAAAGAGAGUGGGAACAAAAACUUAAGGAAUUGGAGGACAGAUUAAGGCAGGAGAAAGGUCUGAGUAGAAGAGAGAAGGAACUGGAGUCCAAAGAGGGAGGAACGGCAAAGAAAGAGCAAGAAAUCCAAACUACUGGAGAAGAGCAUAAUCUACACCGCAACGUAGAGCUAACUUCUCCUGGGUUAUCUCAAGAACAACGCAGACCUCUAGAUGAAAGAGGAGAGCUGAGCAAAGAUGAAGAUUCACAUGACAGUGAAUCACUUGAGUUUGGAAAACCUGUGAGACGCAACAGCAACCAAUUCGCGCCACCUUAUAUGGCCGGAAGUGAACAUGGACCUGUAGACACACUCUGAAUGGACAGACUUCAAUUGGAGGGCUUUCAGCUUCUAUUGAUAUCUCACUUAAUUUCAAAAAUAUCCAACAGAUGGCUCAAAAUGUGCCAGAGGUCAAAUAUCAAAAAUACACACAUGUGUGAAACACAACACAGACCACAAGCUGGAGGAAACAACAACUGUGCUUUCUGUGCAGCUGAUCUUAUUUAAGUGAUGUUAUCAAAGGCAAACAUGCUUAAUCAGAAUGAUGAAGAUGUCAUGCUGAGAUACUCAUCUAAAUCAUCCACAGCAUGUUUCUGUAUAUAUGUACAUUUUGAAACUUUUCAUCAUCUUUUUACAUUGUUGUAUAUGUGCAAACAUUUAAGAGUAUUUAAAUCUGCUUUUUAUGUUUCCAUUGUUGAAGAGUCGAGGAGAAGAGAAACUACAUAAGUAUUAUAAAUGCGUCUGCUUUAUGAGGAAAUGUAAGAGGAAAAGAUGUGUGUUCCUUAGACGAUUAAACAGCCUUCCUCAAAAGAGUAGUUGAGUUGGCAACUAGAAAACGUAUGAUUCCCAACUGCAUUGAUAAACAUCUGCUGUGAUUUGUUGAGUGCUAUCUUUUUACAGUAACUAUACCCAAACAUAUCAAUGCUCAUAUUUAGCCUUUAUGUUGUACAAGUGCUACUAAAAUCAUUAAAAUGACAGGUAAGCCUAGAUUCUGGUAUAAUACGUAAAUAUAGUUCUGUUUAGUGAUAGCUUAAUUGCUUGUUAAGUUCAACACCCUAGUUGCAGUAUAUGACACAGUCUUAGAAUACUGUAUAAUAAAGAAUAAGUAUUUCAUUCAAAAUACUCUCAUGAAUGCUGGUCCUGGAAGGUUAAAAACUAUGUAAUGUAGUGUUGCCCCCUACUGGAAAAUAUGCCAUAUUGGUCUAAUGGUCUAAUAGCAUCAUCUAGUGAAAAAGAGUAGUAUUACACGCUGCAUGUUUAAAGGGAUAGUUCACCCAAAUAUUAAAGUUCUCUCAUCAUUUACUCACCCUCAUGUUACAAACCUGAGUUUAUUUUCCUCUGCAGACAAACAAAAAUAAAUACAUUUUGAGAAAUAUUGUUUGGGCCUCAAUGUUCUUUAAAAUAUGUUUUGUUUCACAAAAGAAAGGUUUGGAAUGGCAUGAGGGUGGAGUAAAUGAUGAUAGAAGUUUCAUUUUUGGGUGAACUAUCCAUUUAACACAAACUAUUUUCAAUAAAGGUACUUUUAUUACAAAAAAAAGACAAUAAAAUACACUUUCUCAUUUUCCUCUUCUGUUCUGCAGUUUCGCUUCUCUAGUUGUGCACUAUUCCGGCUUAUUCUUCAAAUGUUUUGUGGCA
rnacentral:lncRNA from 1 species